rnacentral:rRNA from 1 species
ACACUCCUACGGGAGGCAGCAGUGGGGAAUUUUGGACAAUGGGCGAAAGCCUGAUCCAGCAAUGCCGCGUGAGUGAAGAAGGCCUUCGGGUUGUAAAGCUCUUUUGUCAGGGAAGAAACGGUGAGAGCUAAUAUCUCUUGCUAAUGACGGUACCUGAAGAAUAAGCACCGGCUAACUACGUGCCAGCAGCCGCGGUAAUACGUAGGGUGCAAGCGUUAAUCGGAAUUACUGGGCGUAAAGCGUGCGCAGGCGGUUUUGUAAGUCUGAUGUGAAAUCCCCGGGCUCAACCUGGGAAUUGCAUUGGAGACUGCAAGGCUAGAAUCUGGCAGAGGGGGGUAGAAUUCCACGUGUAGCAGUGAAAUGCGUAGAUAUGUGGAGGAACACCGAUGGCGAAGGCAGCCCCCUGGGUCAAGAUUGACGCUCAUGCACGAAAGCGUGGGGAGCAAACAGGAUUAGAAACCCGAGUAGUCCCA